rnacentral:sRNA from 1 species
GUUUUGCGUUAGGGAUAGCAGCGAUAUCCUUUUUUAAUUUUCAUAAAAAAGAUUUAGCGGAUAGCCCGUUAAAAC